rnacentral:tRNA from 1 species
GGAGAGGUGGCUGAGCGGUCGAAAGCACCGGUUUUGAAAACCGGCGUACGGGUAACCGUACCGUGGGUUCGAAUCCCACCCUCUCCGCCA